GCUCCCGUAGGCUAAUGGAUAGACCGUGGGCCUCCGAAGCUUGAGAUGCAGGUUCGAUUCCUGCCGGGAGCA
rnacentral:tRNA from 1 species